AUCCUUAACCCACUGAGUGAGGCCAGGGAUCAAACCUGCAACCUCAUGGUUCCUAGUUGGAUUUGUUUCCACUGUGCCAUGACAGGAAGUCCAAGUACACACAUCUUUUUGAAUGAAAGUUUUGUCCGGAUAUACCCAGGAGUGGGAUUACUGUAUCAUACAGUAGUUUUAUAUUCAGUUUUCUGAAGAACCACUGUACUGUUUUCCAUAGUGAUUGUAUCAGUUUACAUUUCCACCUACAGGGAAGGAGGGUUCCCUUUUCUCCACACCCUCUCCAGCAUUUAUUAUUUGUAGACUUUUAAUGAUGGCCAUUCUGACUUGUGUGAGGUGGUACCUCAUUGUAGUUUUGACUUUUAUUUUUCUAAUAAUUAGCAAUGUUGAUCAUCUUUUCAUGUGCCUAAUGACCAUCUGCAUGUCUUAUUUAGAGAAAUGUCUAUGUAGGUCUUAUGAUGACAUUUAGAUUGGGUUGGGUUUUGUUGUUUUUGUUGAGUUAUAUGAAUUGUUUUUUAUAUUUUGGAGAUUAAACCCUUGUUGGUUCCAUUGUUACAACCAUUUUCUCCCAUUCUGUAGAUUUUUUUUUUAUUGGUUUCUGUUGAUGUGCAAAAGCUUGUAAGUUUGAUUGGGUCUCAUUUGUUUAUUUUUGUUUUAUUUCUAUUGCCUUGAGAGACUAACCUGAGAAAACAUUUGUACAGUUUAUGUCAGAAUGUUUUGCCUAUGUUCUCUUCUAGGAGUUUUAUGGUGUCAUGUCUUAUGUUAAGUCUUUAAGUCAUUUUGAGUUUAUUUUUAUGCCUGGUGUAAGAGUGUGUUGUAGUUUUAUUGAUUAACAUGCAGCUGCCCAUGCAUGCAUAGAUUCCACAUACAAGUGAUAUCAUAUGGUAUUUGUCUUUUUGCCAGUACCACUUGCUAAAAUAACUGUCUUUUUCUCAGUUUAUAUUCUUUGCUCCUUUGCUGAAGAUUAAUUUACCACUGUAGGUAUAUGGGUUAAUUUCUGGGCUCCCUAUUCUGUUCCACUGGUCCAUUCACCUGUUUUUGUACCAGUAACACAUCGUCUUGAUUACUGUAACUUUGUAGUAUUGUCUGUGAGAGUUAUGCUUCCUGCUUUUUGUUUUCCACCCAAGAAUUCUUUGGCAAUUCUGGGUCUUUUAUGGUUUCAUAUAAAUAUUGGUUUCAUUAGUAUUAGUUCUAUGAAAAAUGUCAUGGGUAAUUUGAUAUGGAGCACAUUAAAUCCAUAGACUGCUUUGAGUAGUAUGACCAUUUUAACAAUAUUAAUUCUUCCAAUCCAGGAGCAUGGGGUAUUUUUUCAUUUCUUUGACUCCUCUUUAAUUUCCUUUAUUAAUGUUUUAUAGUUCUCAGAGUAUGUCUUUCACCUCCUUGUUCAAGUUUAUUCCUAUAUGUUUUUAUUUCUGUUUUGUAAAUAUGUUUAUUAUACCAUUUUCUUUGGAUUCCACAUAUAAUUGAUCUCAUGUGAUAUUUGUCUUUGUCUUUUAUGAUACCUAAUAUGAUAAUUUCUGGGUCCAUUUAUGUUGCUGCAAAUGGUAUAAUUUUGUUCUUUAUUGGCUGAGAAUUGAUAUAAAUGAAUUUAUUUACAAUGCAGAAAUAGACUCACAGACAUAGAAAACAAAUUUAUGGUUAUCAAAGAGUACAGCAGGAAAUGGAGUAUAAAUUAGGAGUUUGGGAUUAGCAUAUACACACUACUACAUAUAAAAUCAGUAAACAAGGACCUAGUGUACAGCAAAGGGAAUUAUAUAUUCAAUAUCCUAUAAAUAACCUAUAAGGGAAAACUAUAUAUUCUUAUAAAUAUAUAUCUGAAUAUAUAUUCAUAUAUAUAUAUAUAACUGGAUAUAUGUUUAUCUUAUAUAUAUAACUUAAUCCAUUUGCUGUAUUUGUGAAACUAACACACCAUUGUAAAUUUACUGUACAAUUUAAAAGUUUAGUUUUUUUAGAGAUUAAAAAAUGGUAUAGUAGUUGCGAAAAAUAAUCAUGGAAAAGGAGGGGGAUUUAGAAAAGGAGUAAGGCUGCUCAUGGGUGACCAUGAUGAGAAGCCAUAGCCCAUAAUCAUAUUUGAUGGCCUGUGUUGCUGAGGUGCUGGGAGAGAGUGAUGUCCCUCAUCCCACCCUAGUAGGAGAAAGGGGCUGGGAAGAAAAUGCAGACUUAAUCUGCACCUCAGCAGGAAGAUGACACCUUCAGGAUAAAAGAACCUAUUCCAUUUUAACUGGGAGUUUUAGAGAAAUGGCCAUUUUUUUCUGAUGAAAGACUGAUAAUUCUCAUGAAGGAAUUUGGGAUGAUCAAGGAAGGACUGGAGGUUGGAUCACAUUAGAGGAUUUACAAGGCUUAUCUGGAUAAAAGUUCGGAUGUUGAAAAAUAAAUUUAAGGGUGGCCCCCACGUGACUAAAUAUGUAAAUCGUGAUGAGAUUAGACCUGAGAGUCUCUUAGAUAGAAAUGGAAAAUCAGAUCUGAUUCUAUUCUUCUACUUAGGAAGUGUUGCAUAGGCACUAGUCCUGCAAAGAAGAUGGAGAUGAUGAACAGAUGAACACUGGGUGGAGUUGGGGUCUCAUAGUAAACAAAGUGAGAUUUGGAGACUUUCUUUUCAUUCCUGCCAAAGGCAGCACUGUGACUGAAUGCAGGCUUGUCUUCUCAGGAGUCCUAUUUCAGGAUGAUGAAAAUAUUUUAUUUAAUUAUUAUAAUAUCUUCAGACUUUAUUUUUCAAUAUUGAAACAUCCUGAGUGGCUACAUGUUUAAUGCUGUGCUGACCUUCAGUUAGAAGGAACAUGUGCUAUGUAUGAUCUCAGCAGAUCUCUUCCAAGUGGCUUAAGGAAGACUUCCAUAGGUUUUAAUGUUUGGUUGAUAUUUCUAUUCCAGGGAGAUUGCCUUAUGGCACAGAAAAGAGGACAAGCAUUCAAAAAUAGACCCAGUAACCAUAAUAUGUUAAGAAACUGGAAAAGAAGGGAAAAACUUGUACUGUAAUUUGUCUAUACCCACUUUCCUGAAUUCACUAUAAAAUGCAAAACUUUAUUUAGCUUUUAUAAAUAAAGGAAUCAAAGAAUUGUAUUCUACAAAUUAGGUGACUCGUUGCAAAGUAACAAUAUAAAUUUGAAUUGCUUAGUAUUUGGCAAAGCAAACUAUAUUCUUCUGUUUGUCAAGGCUGUGUUAAUGAUGAAAGGUUUAAGUAUUUAUUUCAUGUAUAAUUUUCAAUUUGGAGAAUGCAUCCUUCCAUCUUUACUACUGAAUAAUACACUUUAAAGUAUGUACAAAUGCAGUAAACAUUGACAGUAAAAGUGAACACCCCAUUAGUUGCAUAGUUGUAUUUGUCUUACACGAGUUGUAUUUACAAUCUAAGACUAUUGCAAUUUGUUCUGAGGAGUCUGGAGGAAGUCAGAUGGAAAUUAUUGUGUCCUAGAAUUCAUAGAAGUGAAUGUGAUACAGAAUUGCAUAUUUUUUCUUGUUACCUAAAUGCACUUCAGUACCAUAUCCAGUAUUCAGGUCUCCUUAGUCAUAUCCUUUUUUCUUUCUUUCUUUCUUUCUUUCUUUAUUUUUUGCUUUUUAGGGCCAGCCCCAUAGCAUAUGGAAGUUCCCAGGCUAGGGGUCGAAUCAGAGCUCCAGCUGCCAGCCUACAUCCAUAGCCAUAGCCACAGCAUCGCAGGAUCCGAGCUGCAUCUGCAACAUAAAUCACAGCUCGUGGAAAUGCCAGAUCCUGAACCCACUGAGUGAGGCCAGGGAACAAACCCAUGCCCUUAUGGAUACUAGUGUGGUUUGUUACCACUGAGCCAUGAUGGGAACUCCCCAAAUGUUUUCUACUUUGCAUAGCUUAAAAUUUGCCAUGUUUUAGAGAUCCCCAGUGGCCUAAUGGUUAAAGAUCCUGCAUUAUCACUGUUGUGGGGAGGGUUCAAUCCCUGGCCCAGGAGCUUACAGAUGCUGCUUGGAUGAGGCCAAAAAAUACAAAUAAAUAAAUAAAAUUAACCAUGUUAAUUUUACAUGUAACCAUGUAAUCACAUUACAUGUGAAGGCAGACCAUUUUUAAAUAAUGAGUUAAAGAUGUAUUUUAUAAACUUUACACAAUCAGGAGAACUAUUUGAAUAAAAUAGUAAAACUAAGCACUGAAUCAUAGACAUUUAUUAAAAUUCAUUGGAGUCAUAAAAAUAUUAUUUCAUAUGCAAGAAGAAAAUGAGGCAAAGGAGCAAUGGAGCAUGUAAAGAAAAAAACACUAACAAAAUGGCAAAUUUUGAUUCAACCCAAUCAAUAAUUGAACAUAAAUGGUCUAAGUAUUUACACUUAAUCAAAUUUGAUGAAAAAGCAAGACUUAAUUAUAUACCAUCUAUGAGAAACCCAACUUAAAUACAAAGACAUAUGCAGGUUGAAAGUAAAAAACUGGGAGAUGAGGUAAAAUGCCAACAUGAAUUUAAAAAAAAAACUAAUCACAAAAAUAUAAGAAAAAGUAGACAUCUAAACUAGUAAUAUUAAUGCAGAUAAAGAGGAAUGUUAGGUAAUGAUGAAAGGACUAAUUCACUAAGAAGUCACAACUUUAAAUGUGUGUACCUAACAACAACUUCAAACAACAUGAAUUUUAAAAAAUGAUAAAAUAUAAAAGUAGAUCAGUCUACACUUAUUUCUCAUAAUUGAUUGAAAAAAUAGGUAGAUAGAAAAUCAGUAAGAAUAUGGAACAAGGGUACUAUUAUUGAACUAAACUAAAGGAUGUCCUUGAGACAACAAGAACAGAAUGUGCAUUCUUUCCACCUGCACAUGGAACAUUUUUCAGAGAUAGAUGGAGUGUUAGGCCAUAAAACAAUUUACUAGAAAUUGACAAGAACUGAAGUAAUACAAUGUCUGUGUUCUGAUAAUGAAAGAAUUAUACUGGAAAUCAAAUUGGACUAAGAGGCUAUGAAUCAAAAUUUGGGGAUGCAAAUAGCAUAGUAUUUAGUAGGAACCAUGACAAAUGUUUAUGUUAGAAAAGAAGAAAGUUCUGAAAUCAAUUAUCUAUUUGUCACAGGAAGUAAAUAGAAGGAAAAAAAGUAAGCAGAGAGAAUCAAAUUAUACAGAUCAGGUAAGAAAGUAUCAAUCAAAUGGAAGGAGAAAAACAGAGAAGACAUUUCUGAUUCCUUGAAAAGAUGAAUUGGACAGACUGGGAAAACAUUGCUAAAAUAUGAACAAUAUCAGAAUUGAAUAAGAACACAAAUUCUAAAAAUAUUAAAAGAAUAGCCCAUGGAAUUAUUAUGAAGGACUUUUUGCCCAUACAUUUUAUGACUUAGAUCUA
rnacentral:lncRNA from 1 species